CCUGAACCUGAGAUUACAGAGAGAUGGAUGGUCAUCUUUGUAAAUAUGUACAACUGUCUGAGAAGUAUAAUAGCUAUAGGUGUAAGUGUUUGUAGAAGAGAUAAUACUUUUCUCAUUCUAGGGGCCCCAGACUUCUGUAUGAGGAGAUCUGGGAUUCCAUCAUCGUUGAAUUGGCCUGGUGCUGGACGACUGAGACAAUAAUAAAUGAUUCAGAACUGGAGAGAUGGGUAUUGUUGCUCUUUUGAGUGACUCCUAUUAGCACAUCCUCAACUGAGUCAUUGUCAACAUCCCACAGUGCAAGAGGAGGUGGGGUAACACCUGAAGAAGAAAACCACUGUUACAGACAGGAACGUUCCCCAUGCUGACAAGGCACCAGAAAGGCACACAG